rnacentral:lncRNA from 1 species
UUUACGUCUUUCUGGGAAUUUAUACUGGAAGUAUACUUACCUCUGUGCAAAAUUGCAAAUAUAUAAGGUAAUUCAUUCCAGCAUUGCUUAUAUUAGGUUGAACUAUGUAACAUUGACAUUGAUGUGAAUCAAAAAUGGUUGAAGGCUGGCAGUUUCAUAUGAUUCAGCCUAUAAUAGCAAAAGAUUGAAAAAAUCCAUUAAUACAGUGUGGUUCAAAAAAAUUUGUUGUAUCAAGGUAAAAUAAUAGCCUGAAUAUAAUUAAGAUAGUCUGUGUAUACAUCGAUGAAAACAUUGCCAAUACAUGUUGUCAUGUGGAUAAAAACAAAAGAAAACAACAAUAUUUUUAAUAAUAGAGAUUAUAUAGUGUAUUUUAUGUAAAAUGAGGGAAAUGAAUAAUAUUUGUCAUAUUUAAUUGCAUAAGCAUAAAGAAACCCUAAUAUUUAUAAUAGUGGCUAGCUUUUGGAGGGAGGUGGGCCCGGGCUUCUGCAGAUGGUCAUAACUUUUGGAGGUGAGAUUCACAUGGAACUGUAAAAUGUAUGGCCAUCAUCAGGAAAGGCAACUGUGUGGAUAGAGCCAAGAGUUCAAUGGGAAAGGGAAUUUGUACGUUGCAUAUGUUUUAAUAUGAUUGGAUAUUUGAACUACAAAAAUGGUCUACCUGUUCACAGAUAAAAUAUAUCUGGUAUUUAUUGUAUAAAACAGUUUCUUCAUGUUAUCUGUGGGCCAGAUUUUUCCUUAUUCCUAUAAGACUGUAAUCUCAUAACAGUAUUAAUACAAUAUUCUGAUGUAGAGUUAUUUUAUAGGCAUUAUGAAUCUGUAAUGGAUUAGAAUAAAAAAUAUGUUUAGUAAGUAUUUCUUUAACUUUUAAAAAAUGUUUCCAGCAGGCUGCUUUGGUGUAAUGAUAGACGGAUUUGGAGCCUCAGCUCUGCCACAUAUAUACCUCCUUUGUGGGCUUUAGAUAGCCAACAGUUCUCAACCUCCAUUUUUCUUAGUUGCAAAAGUAGAUUAAUAGUUAAAACCACCAUUAAAUAAAAUUUCUUUGUAAAAUGUUUUGCAUAUCAAAAUUUUUAUGAAGUCAACAUUUAAAAAAGUUCAUUUUGAAGCAUAAGUAUUCAUAAUAAUAGAAGUUAUUGGGUUUUGCUAUGUAGAUAAAGUGUCCAAAAGAGUUGUGCUAUGUGAACUGCCAUAUGUGUACAAAAUAGAAUCUUACAGAUCCACAGGGAAUUGGUCAAUGGGAAGAAAAUAGGGUAAAUAUGGGUGUUACAAAAUGCAUUAAUGAACCACAGUACACUCCGGGCUGGGGCAGAUCUUCUGCUUGUGUUUUCACCACCAUCACCACCAAUUACACCACAAAAGAAGCUAUUACUUAUUAAGUCCCAAAUAUUUGUUAGAGUCUGCGUGGCACGUUGUACUUAUUCUAUCCCACUUAACUGUUAUAAAAACUCCUGUGAAAUAAGUAUUACUAUUUCUAUUGUACAGUUGCCUAACAGUGAAUAGCCAGUUAAAUAUGUAAACAGGUGAUUUAAAGACAGGUCUUUUUGAUCCCAAAUCUCAAAUCCUUAUUAAUAUUCCACUUUCUUUCAGACUUUAGUGGGCAUUAACAUAUAACAGAAAUGCAGAUUUCUGGACGUUGCCUCAGAGAUUCGGCUUUGCUUGGUCUGUACUGUACCAUCUCUCCCAGCGGCUCUAAUGUUGUUGGACAGUAGUUACUGAAAGUAAUUCCAUGCUAUCCCCAACUCCUCUUGGCCUUCUUCUAUAGCAGAUAAUCUAGCACCUAUAAACAUCUGGAGCAUUAAUGUUCUGUUGAACACAGAUUGGGAAGCUAAGUACUGGAAAACACAGCAAAGGAGUCAGUAGAGAUAUUCGCCAGGAAAGAGGAAAGAGUUAUUUCAUGGAAAGCCUUUAGCUUUUUUCUGUGAAAACUAAGGACAAUUAAAUGUAGGCAUGAGGUCCUUUCAAGGCAGCAAGAAGUAUCACAUAGAUGACUCAGCGUCAUGCACAGGUGCUGGUUGGAUUCAGUUCUUGGACCUGGGAUCAUAGCCUAUUCAGAUUAUCAGUGAGAUGUUAAAGAAUUCCUGUCCAGGAUCAAAAACAAAGCAGGCAUUCUCUCUUUUUUACGGUUGGUUUUCCAUGAUCCUUUUAAAGUGCAAAUUCUCUGUUUUCCUAAAAUUAAUAGUUAAAUCACUGCCUUAGAUUUUGACUUGUUAACUGUUUUUUUUUCCUCUUUGUGACAUUACUGAACUAUCUUACAUAAGCUUGACUGUCCUGUCCUCAUCUAUAAAAAUGAAGAUCAGAUAAUCUAAGUCACAGUGAUAUUUCCAGAGUUAAAAAGAUAACACGUGCAAAAUUAUUGCAAAAUCUUUGGGAUGUAGACAGUUAGUACUCUUCCAAAUACAUAAAUCAGAAAUUUAGCUCUCCUGAGUAUUUUGUUUUUA